rnacentral:tRNA from 1 species
GGUUGUGGCUCAGUGGUAGAACACUCACUUAACAUGCAUGAGGCACUGGGUUCGAUCCUCAGCACCA